rnacentral:rRNA from 1 species
CACUCCUACGGGAGGCAGCAGUGGGGAAUAUUGCACAAUGGGCGCAAGCCUGAUGCAGCCAUGCCGCGUGUAUGAAGAAGGCCUUCGGGUUGUAAAGUACUUUCAGCGGGGAGGAAGGCGAUAAGGUUAAUAACCUUGUUGAUUGACGUUACCCGCAGAAGAAGCACCGGCUAACUCCGUGCCAGCAGCCGCGGUAAUACGGAGGGUGCAAGCGUUAAUCGGAAUUACUGGGCGUAAAGCGCACGCAGGCGGUCUGUCAAGUCGGAUGUGAAAUCCCCGGGCUCAACCUGGGAACUGCAUUCGAAACUGGCAGGCUAGAGUCUUGUAGAGGGGGGUAGAAUUCCAGGUGUAGCGGUGAAAUGCGUAGAGAUCUGGAGGAAUACCGGUGGCGAAGGCGGCCCCCUGGACAAAGACUGACGCUCAGGUGCGAAAGCGUGGGGAGCAAACAGGAUUAGAAACCCGUGUAGUCCCAUGA